rnacentral:rRNA from 1 species
GACGUAGGGCGCGAGCGUUGUCCGGAUUUAUUGGGCGUAAAGAGCUCGUAGGCGGCUUGUUGCGUCGACCGUGAAAACCCGUGGCUUAACUGCGGGCUUGCGGUCGAUACGGGCGGGCUGGAGUUCGGUAGGGGAGACUGGAAUUCCUGGUGUAGCGGUGAAAUGCGCAGAUAUCAGGAGGAACACCGGUGGCGAAGGCGGAUCUCUGGGCCUGUUCUGACGCUGAGGCGCGAAAGCUAGGGGAGCGAACAGG